AAUUCUAUGAUUCUAUCAUUCUAUCAUUCUACGUCAAUGAGGUUGGAGACUGGAGCUCUCCAGAAAAGAAACUGCUUGGAUGUGGCCUGGUGGAAUUUUGCAUGCUCUGAUUUCAUGUGAACAUGGGAAGCUGUUGUGUCUGUCCUCUGAACCAGGAGCACCUCUACAGGACCAGCACUCUCACAGGCAGUGCUGCAGUGAUUUGUGCUGGACACCCAAAAUCAGCUCCGUGCCCCUUCAGAAUAUACAUGGGAGUCCUGCUGUGCCCAUACCUCUUGCAGUCUGUAUAUUGCCCUUAAAUUAAGUCUUUCCCCCACUGUGCCGUGAGACACAGGAGGAAUUGGCAAAGGCCAUUUUUCUCAUUAACUGAGCUAAUUAAUCACCUUUUGUCUUUUUUAGGUUGCUCGGAGGGCUAAUUGCAGCACAUGGCUAAGAGUGAGUGAGCCUCCAAGCCAGAUGGAAUUGAACUGGAAGUGAAUGUUAUUGAUCUUGGAAAUGUGCUUAUGUUGGGGCCAGAACUGACUGGGAAUACUCCCCUGGAACCUCUGUUGCCUCAAGAAAAUAUCUACCAAGAAAUUAUGGAAUCAAGGCCAAAUGAAUCAGGAUUCAUUCAGGAGAUGAAAGUUCAGAGUUGAACCAAACCUGUUCCAGAGCAGUUUUAGACUGAAACGUUUCUGUGUUUCCCAUUUUGACAUCCUGAAAUUCCUCAUGGAAGGGAUCUUUGUCCUCUGCACGGCUUCCUGUAGUCCAAACAGACGAAUGCAUGAGAUGGAGAUGGAAGGAGGCGAGUGAGGAGGCAGCGUAGAGCAGAACAGUAAUCCUGGAAAAGGAUCCUGGUCCAGUCGCUAUGGGGGAUGUGGUCCUACAACCUCCCCCCCAGGAUGUGUGGGUCCAGGAGUUGCCCAAGCACAUGUCCCACUCCUGGUGCAGUUCUGCAGUUCUCAACAGAGGUUGUUUUUCACCGAAUGAAGGUUUUUCCCUGAGAUUAACAAGUGGAAGAACAGCCCACGGGAGAUCACUCCUGGGUUCCCCAUCAUCUUGCAGGGGAAAAGGAUGAGUCAAGAGAGAACUCGAUUGGGCGGCACAGACAUCUUCCUGGAGAGAGCAGCCCCAGCACCAAGCGGUGCCUCGGUGAUGUAAGAAGAGGCAGGACAUGUCAGAGGAAACCCCCACAUGGCACAGCAGGCCCUGACCCAAAGCUGCACCAGUCACCAAAUUCUGAGAGCUACUGCUGGACCAACCACCGAGGGGUGGCUUUUCACACCUCUGCUAUGUGUGUCAGCUCUGAUGAGAGGUGCUUUCCCAGGGCAAGGCAAAUCCAAAGAGGGAAUGCGGAUGCAUGCUGUGUGGGGAAUGCUGAUGCGAUGAGGUAUUUGCAGAACCUGUAGUUUCUGGCUCUUGCUGCUUGGAACGAGGAUGCGAUUUUCCGAAUAGUCAAGAAAUAACACGAAGCAUUAAUCACAGGAGAGCCCUGUUAAUGAGCCCUGGAGAAUCCAGCAGUUGGGGCUGCCCAGGCAAGAGCCAAUGCGGGCAGUCUUGAGCACAGCAAAAGGGCUGUGUGAACCCUGGGGAGGGGAACCUCAUGGGGCUAUGGCAGGAGAGGGGUGGGUGCUGGCAGGGUCUAGUGGGGCCAAGAUGUGCUGGAGGGAGAGAAGGAAGGGCAGGCUGUGGGCAAGGGCUGGGAAACAGAGAUCAAUUGGUUCUUAUUUAUCUCCUCCAUUUGUUUUUUCAACCCUGUUUGUGUCUUUCUGUGUGGCUGCUGAGGUGAAUGUUGUGAACAAGAGAUACAUCCUGACAAAAGGGCUCACAUGGCUGCUUGGCUCAAGAGUUCCCUGAACGGUUUGGAUCCAGAGAGCCUUCACUGCUCUUUCCAAGGUGAGCCUCAUAUCAGCUAAGGGUGUGCUCCGAAAGAGCCAGACAGACACUGUGGCUCUUGCAAGAGAGCUCAGUGCCUCCUUCUGCUUCAUCAUUUACUCUGAUGGAGCUCAAUGCAUGAGAAACAGUCUGAACACGUGGGAGCACACAGGUGUGCAGGUGAGCAGGCCCUGAAGAUGAAGAGUGUGUACUGCCCCAUGAAUGAAUGCAAGUGUUUUUGUGUAAGUGGAAAGCAAAAUGACAAACCAUCUACUUCCAUAAAUAACAGUUCAGAUUGGUGCUGAGGGGAUGGCAGUACUUGCAAGUUUAGGAUACAUUAUCCCUGUGAAAGCAAUGCCUGUGCUUGCUUUGCAUACCGUACUCAUCCAGUUGUAUCUGCAAGCUCUUGUUCAGCCACUGUUUCAUGUCAGCUAAUUGCUCCCCACAAAGUGUCUUCUCUUUGGCCGGCUCUCCCAAUGUCUGAGCCCAAUGACAUCUUGAUGUAGCCCAGCUCUAUAUGCAAAACCUUGCACAGCCAUCGUGUCAGCUUUGUGGGCCCCUGUGACAGGUCCUUUCUUAAGGUCCUCUCAUCUUGGCAAUAGCAGGUGAGGGCUCUUGCCUCUGUUUUCACUGGCUGCUCCUCAUACUGCUACAAACCAGAGAGAAGCAGGGUCUUCAUCUCUGCUCCAAAAGGAGAUCAGCCACAGAAUGGGAAAUAGAGAAGUGGCAGAAGGCCCAGCAAGAAGAUGAUUUGGCUGGAAAUUUUCAUCUGGGAGAGCAUAUACAACAGGCCAGGGGAGAUUCUGCAGGAAGGGAACCUUGGGAGUGUCUAAAGCACAGAGAUGGAGGUGAUGGAGAGCAGAAGCCCAUCCCAGUCAUGGCCUCCAGCCUGAGUGGUCCAGGAUGUCCUCAGCUGGGCAGACCCUGUUGUCUGCUCAAGCUCUGGAUGGAUCGAUUCCACUGCUUCUGCUAAGUGGAAUGAGCCUUGUGAAGCUCUGUUCCUUCACUCCCAGACAUGCAGAGGACAGAGGACGCAAUGCGGAUCGCAGUGCUCUGUAGCAUAUCUCCUUAGCUGUCCCUGGGGAGAUAAGGGCUCUGGUGCAGAUUCUGCCUUCUGCCCGGUGUCACGGGGCUGUCUGGCACUUUGCAAGAAGAAAAAAUGAUGUGCCUGCCACUGAAAGGUACAGUUUGUGUUACACCAAGGACAGAGUGACGAGAGAGAACACAGAGUGCAGGCAGAGAGGGUGAACUGUCCAUUACAGGAUCCGCUUUCAUGCAUCUAUCUCACAGGCUGGGGCUGAGCUCAGGUUUUUGUGACCCCGCUGUGGCUCCUGCCCUUGGUGCUGCCUUCCUGCUUGCAGGGCUGGAGCUGCAGCUUGGCCCCGAUGCAUUGGGAACUGUUUGUCCUGACCAUACGAGUGGGCAGAUCUGGGAUCAGGCUUUGCUGAUUCUACUCCGAGGAAUAGGAGGGAAGGAAGCAAUUUCUGUAAAUUUAGCAAGAAGGUCCUUACAUCUAAUUGCUGGAAGUGGUUAGGGAAGCUGACAGACUAUAAUCGGCGUCGCGACUUUCUUCCGGCUCAUCAACAAAGGCAGAGCUCCUCUGCAGCACUCAGCACCACUCCAGUGCAGCCCAGAGAGAAGGGACAGUGCUGUAGCUUUGUGUUAAUUGGGAAUAAGAAAGGGUGGCAGAGCUCUAACAAGCAGAAUGAGCACCAGCUGUGGUUGCCAGGUCCCUUAUUUCUGAGAAAACGUUCUUGAAAUGUGGUCUCUCCAUCAGGCUUUAGGGAAUUUCAGCUGUGUGGCACUGAGUGGCAGUCCCUUUGCUCUGCCAUGGCCACCAUCUUUUCUCUGCCCUUUACACCACUCACUGCUGCCCCGUGGGGAGCUUGCACCCUGACCCUGAGAUAGCUUGCAAUUACAGACUGAGUCAGCCAAGCACACCCCAGAGGUGUUAUCCCUGGAUGCACAGGCUGAGACAAGAAGAGACUUUUCCUUGCAGCCUCCCACAGGCGCUGGCUCCUUCCAGAUCAGGGUGAUGUACUGUACUGUGGCACUGAACCACAGCUCCUUCGGCAACUGCCUGCAGCCCAAACUCCUUCUGUGAGCAGGUGACUGCCUGGUCUACCCAGACCACGUUGCCUCAAGUUGCACCAGGGGAUGGUCAGGUUGGGUAUUAGGAAAAUCUCCUCUGAAAUAGCAAUAAUGCAUUGGCACAUUCUGCCCAGGGAGUGGUGGGGUCACCAUCCCAGGAUGGUGGAGAUGUGGCACUGAGGGAUGUGGACAUGGUGGGGGUGGGCUGGGGUUGGACUGGGUGAUCUUAGAGGUCUUUCCCAACUGUAAUGAUUCAAUGAUUCGUGGCAGACGAAGGUUACAGGACAAUGGGGAAGGGUGGCACUGCUCCCUGCUUGGGAGCAGGGGCACUGAUCAGAGCAGGCUGCAGCCCCUCCUUGACCAGCUGUCACAGUUUCAUGGGCAGUCCCAGUUUGUUCUGUCCUGGAUGGAGAUGCCUGAUACCUUCCAACCCUGUGAUUCUGCUCUUUAACCAAUGAUCACACUCUGCUUCAUCAGUCCCUGAACCAUUGUGACGGCUUCUCUAUCUGUAGGAUAGCAUUGUUGGGCAUUGCUGCACAUGAAGACAGUUCUCCACUGUCACAACCUCAUGGUGCUCUGGCCCUAUUCCUCAGUGAUCUUGUAAGUUCAGUUCACAAUUACUCUGUCCUGUGAGUGAUUGAGUGAUAAAAUAUGUGCUCUCCUGUAUUUUCCAACAUUCAGACCAACUGGGAUUACACCAAUGACCAUAAUUUUCCCUUUUAGCACUCUAGAAAACCCCUUGCAGUAGCUUGAAUCAUCUAAUUUGAUGGUCUGGAGUUUCCUCAGGCCAAAGCAAUGCAGAGGUCUAAGAUCUAUAGGGUCAAAGACUCUACACCCUUUGUCCUCUGCAGGGAUUCUCUGGUCAAGGGAAGAUUUAGGUUAAAUGGGACGAGGAAAUUCUUCUCUCGGAGGGCAGUGAGGCAUGACACUGCUGCCCAGAGCUGUGGGUGCCUGGGGCCAUGGAUGGGCUCUGGGCAGCCCGACCUGGUGGGGGGCACCCAGCCCAUGGCAGGGGUUAGAGCUGGGUGGGCUCUGAGUUCACUUCCAGCCCAACCAUUCUGCGAUUCUGUGAUUCUAUGACAUAAACUGGGCAGGUGAUGUGGGUGUGGGGAUAUGCAGGGGGCUGAGACCACCCAGAGGAGAUCAGCUACUGUUCUGGCAAAAUCUCUACUAAGGGUGAAACUUCUACCUUAACUUCCUACAGUUAGCUGAAUGGCAGCUACUUGCAGUUCCAGGUAAACACUGGGAAGAGCUCCAAGUGCUUGCGUUGCUCAGACAGAGACUGCUGUGAAGGAAAGGUUUAGUCCCUUGUGAGCAAUUUCCCAUUAAAACGGAAUUUGAAAAGUUUCAUUCUGAUGCCAGUAGCAAACACAGGCAAAUGUGGUCAUUCCCCUUAAUGGGAAGGAAAACCCUUGGGACUAGCUAGAGAAUGAGCUUGUAGAUACACAACAGCCAGGUGAGGACUCAUCCAGUUCCUCCCAAGGCCACAGAGGUCCUUGUGGUACCUUGCUUAGCAAGCAUCCUGCAAUUUAGAAUACAAAACAACAUCUCCUGUGCUGUUAGGUAACAAGACAGCGUGAAGGUGUGGUAGGAGUGAGUGUGAACAGGCUGAAUCACCAGGCAGGAGGUGGAGAAUCAUGGCUGGGAGAAGGUGCUGUGAUGGGGGGGACCUGAUUGUCCCCUGUGACCCCAGUAGGUGGACUGCAGGGCCACCUGGAUUACUGGCAGGGCAGAAGAAAGGAGCCCUUGGGAUCUAGACAGGAGCGUGGACAGAAGCUGGGCCAUGGUGACAUGACCUCGUGGCCAUUGGGAUCAAUGGCUAACAAGGGACAGCCAGGCAGGAGCUGGCAUGACAUGGCAUGGCAUGCCUGGUGGGUCAAUGGAAGGUGGAUGUAAAACAACUCUGGGCUACCCAACAGCUGCACUGUUAUCAGGAUAUGUCCAGGGAGUGGGCGAUGAGUGGGUUUCCAGCAUGAGGCAUGUCCUGGGCCCCUUCUUCCUGCUCUUGCACGCCCAAGGCCAUCUUCCUAGGCAGUGAAAGCAGAGAUGUAGGGUCUGAUGUCCCCUGCAUCCACAUAACCAAAACAAAGCCAUAACAGAGGCAUACACAGAGGCUAAGCAAGACAAAACAACAACAACAACAACAACAA